UUCUACCACCAAAGCAAGAGAUCAGAGAGAGGAGUGAGAGAGAGAGAGUGCACUCGAAAUCUGGAUGAGGCAGGAAGGGGAAUGGGGAAAGAUGGAGAGGUGUGGAACACACACGCAUGGUUGUCUCUGGUUGGUGCAGCUCGGAAGGAUGUUUCGAUGGCGCGCAUAUUCAACUUCGCGGUUACCUGUUUCCAGUGCCGUUUCCUGAAUUCCCUCACCACGAUCUAACCAGCUCCCGUCUCCCCCCUUCGCUCCUUCGCCGCGAGCGGUUCGGUCGCGGGUCCGGGUCCCGUAACUCUGUGUCACUGAGGCGUGGAUCGAACACAAUACUACACAACGGAACUGGACCUAGGACCUAGCCACGCGCCGCCACAGUCAACUGUUACUGUAAUCUGCAGGGCACGCUGGCACUUUCAUCAGCAGUGGCCUCAUCCGCGUAGCACUUGUACCGUUGCGCCGCCUUCCACUGUCGCGCGGCCGCCACCGCCACCACCCGCCGAGGCCGAGCCGGCGAGCCCUCUCGGCUCCCCAACCACCUCCGGCCGAUGCAACGCGCGUUGCGAGAAGACGGCAGUGGCACUAGGGACGAACAGAGCCG
rnacentral:lncRNA from 1 species